UUGAUCUUGGCUNCAGNUGAACGCUGGCGGCGUGCUUAACACAUGCAAGUCGAGCGGUAAGGCCCUUCGGGGUACACGAGCGGCGAACGGGUGAGUAACACGUGGGUGAUCUGCCCUGCACUUCGGGAUAAGCCUGGGAAACUGGGUCUAAUACCGGAUAUGACCUUCGGCUGCAUGGCUGAGGGUGGAAAGGUUUACUGGUGCAGGAUGNGCCCGCGGCCUAUCAGCUUGUUGGUGGGGUAAUGGCCUACCAAGGCGACGACGGGUAGCCGACCUGAGAGGGUGACCGGCCACACUGGGACUGAGACACGGCCCAGACUCCUACGGGAGGCAGCAGUGGGGAAUAUUGCACAAUGGGCGAAAGCCUGAUGCAGCGACGCCGCGUGAGGGAUGACGGCCUUCGGGUUGUAAACCUCUUUCAGCAGGGACGAAGCGAAAGUGACGGUACCUGCAGAAGAAGCACCGGCUAACUACGUGCCAGCAGCGCCGGUNAAUACGA
rnacentral:rRNA from 1 species